GGAUUGUGGCUCAGUGGUAAAGUGCUUGCCUGACAUAUGUGAGGCACUGGGUUUGAUUCUCAGCACCA
rnacentral:tRNA from 1 species